rnacentral:rRNA from 1 species
GAUGAACGCUGGCGGCGUGCUUAACACAUGCAAGUCGAACGGUGAAGGCGGAGCUUGCUCUGCUGGAUCAGUGGCGAACGGGUGAGUAACACGUGAGCAAUCUGCCCCUGACUCUGGGAUAAGCGCUGGAAACGGCGUCUAAUACUGGAUACGAGCUGCGAAGGCAUCUUCAGCAGCUGGAAAGAAUUUCGGUCAGGGAUGAGCUCGCGGCCUAUCAGCUUGUUGGUGAGGUAAUGGCUCACCAAGGCGUCGACGGGUAGCCGGCCUGGGAGGGUGACCGGCCACACUGGGACCGGGACACGGCCCAGACUCCUACGGGAGGCAGCAGUGGGGAAUAUUGCACAAUGGGCCAAAGCCUGGUGCAGCAACGCCGCGUGAGGGAAGACCGCCUUCGGGUUGUAAACCUCUUUUAGCAGGGAAGAAGCGAAAGUGACGGUACCUGCAGAAAAAGCGCCGGCUAACUACGUG